UACGGAGGGUGCGAGCGUUGUCCGGAAUCACUGGGCGUAAAGGGCGCGUAGGCGGUGCGGUAAGUCACCUGUGAAAUCUCCUGGCUCAACUGGGAGCUUGCAGGCGAAACUGCCGUGCUGGAGUGUGGGAGAGGUGCGUGGAAUUCCCGGUGUAGCGGUGAAAUGCGUAGAUAUCGAGAGGAACACCUGCGGCGAAGGCGGGUUGCUGGGCUGACACUGACGCUGAGGCGCGAAAGCCAGGGGAGCGAACGGG
rnacentral:rRNA from 1 species